rnacentral:rRNA from 1 species
CCUACGGGAGGCAGCAGUGAGGAAUUUUGCGCAAUGAGCGAAAGCUUGACGCAGCAACGCCGCGUGAUUGAAGAAGAUCUGAGGAUUGUAAAAAUCUGUUAUAAGGGAAGAACAGCAUAUAUUCUAACAAAGUAUAUGUUUGACGGUACCUUAUUAGAAAGCCCCGGCUAACUUCGUGCCAGCAGCCGCGGUAAUACGAGGGGGGCAAGCGUUGUCCGGAUUAAUUGGGCGUAAAGAGUUCGUAGGCGGAUUAGUAAGUCGAUAUUGAAAUACAAUGGCUCAACCAUUGACACAGUAUGGAUACUGCUAAUCUUGAAUUAUGUAGAGGUAAGUGGAAUUUCUGGUGUAGCGGUGAAAUGCGUAGAUAUCAGAAGGAACACCAAAGGCGAAGGCAACUUACUGGGCAUUAAUUGACGCUGAGGAACGAAAGCGUGGGUAGC